UCAUUCUCGUUAGAUCACUGAAGUCAAGCCUCAUUGGGCGCGGUCAGUACUUGGGUGAGUGAUCACCUGGGAACACCGCGUGCCGUU
rnacentral:rRNA from 1 species